GAUGAAGAACGUAGCGAAAUGCGAUAAGUAAUGUGAAUUGCAGAAUUCAGUGAAUCAUCGAAUCUUUGAACGCACAUUACGCCCGCCAGUAUUCUGGCGGGCAUGCCUGUUCGAGCGUCAUUACAACCCUCAGGCCCCCGGGCCUGGCGUUGGGGAUCGGCGGAGCCCCCCGUGGGCACACGCCGUCCCCCAAAUGCAGUGGCGGUCCCGCCGCAGCUUCCAUCGCGUAGUAGCUAACACCUCGCGACUGGAGAGCGGCGCGGCCACGCCGUAAAACACCCAACUCUUCUGAAGUUGACCUCGAAUCCGGUAGGAAUACCCGCUGAACUUAAGCAUAUCAAUAAGCGGAGGA
rnacentral:misc_RNA from 1 species